UACGUAGGGGGCAAGCGUUGUCCGGAAUCAUUGGGCGUAAAGAGCGUGUAGGCGGCUUGGUAAGUCCGCUGUGAAAGUCCAGGGCUCAACCCUGGAAAGCCGGUGGAAACUGUCAAGCUAGAGUCCGGAAGAGGCGAGUGGAAUUCCUGGUGUAGCGGUGAAAUGCGCAGAUAUCAGGAGGAACACCAAUGGCGAAGGCAGCUCGCUGGGACGGUACUGACGCUGAGACGCGAAAGCGUGGGGAGCAAACAGG
rnacentral:rRNA from 1 species